rnacentral:rRNA from 1 species
AGCAGCCGCGGUAAUUCCAGCUCCAAUAGCGUAUAUUAAAGUUGUUGCAGUUAAAAGCUCGUAGUUGAAUUUCGGGAUCAAUACGUUGGUCGUGCUUUCGGGUACGUACUGGCGUCAUUGGUUUCUCUCUUCUGACGAACCAUGAUGUCAUUAAUUUGGUGUUAUGGGGAGUUAGGACUGUUACUUUGAAAAAAUUAGAGUGUUUAAAGCAGGCUCACGCUUGAAUACAUUAGCAUGGAAUAAUGAAAUAGGACGUAUGAUCCUAUUUUGUUGGUUUCUAGGAUUGACGUAAUGAUUAAUAGGGAUAGUUGGGGGGCAUUAGUAUUCAAUUGUCAGAGGUGAAAUUCUUGGAUUUAUUGAAGACUAACUACUGCGAAAGCAUUUGCCAAGGAUGUUUUCAUUAAUCAAGAACGAAAGUUAGGGGAUCGAAGACGAUCAGAUACCGUCGUAGUCUUAACCAUAAACUAUGCCGACUAGGGAUCGGAUGAUGUUAAUUUUUUAAUGACUCAUUCGGCGCCUU